rnacentral:rRNA from 1 species
CCUUCGGGUUGUAAAGCUCUGUCGCCCGGGACGAAAAUCCUUACAGUUAAGAGCUGGAAGGACUGACGGUACCGGGAGAGGAAGCACCGGCUAACUCCGUGC